GUAACAGGACAUCUCUGGAUAUCAACUGCUGGGAUCUGCUACUUACUAUUAAGUCACUUUUGACUUGUAGUCCUUAUCUAACACUGUUUGGAUUCAGGACAGUCCAAGGCUUGUUGCUUUUGUCAUCAGGCUUUCAGAUUCCGCUGGGAGUGGAUAUGGUUGUCAGCUUGAUUGCUUUCACUUGAGUUGGACCCUUUUUGGAUUUCUGCCUUU